AUGUCCACAAUGAGAAGGAGCAACAUCCCAUCAUCAUCAGAUCUCAAGCAAAUAGAAGAAAAAAGUAGCACCAACAUGACAAAGAAGAUCAUAAACUUCUCAACUUCAUCAUCAUGUGACCAUAAUGAGAUAAAGAAAGCAGAGGACUCUCUAGAAACAAAUUAUAAGAAGCUAGAGAGGAAAACUACAGAAGACGUCAACGCCAGUGCUGAUGCAUUCAUCAAGAAUUUCAGACAACAGUUGAUGAUUCAAAGGCUUCAAUCCAUUGAAAAUUAUGAGAAAAUGCUUGCAAGAGGCCUUUAA